rnacentral:rRNA from 1 species
GACGAACGCUGGCGGCGUGCCUAAUACAUGCAAGUAGAACGCUGAAGGAGGAGCUUGCUUCUCUGGAUGAGUUGCGAACGGGUGAGUAACGCGUAGGUAACCUGCCUGGUAGCGGGGGAUAACUAUUGGAAACGAUAGCUAAUACCGCAUAAGAGUAGAUGUCGCAUGACAUUUGCUUAAAAGGUGCAAUUGCAUCACUACCAGAUGGACCUGCGUUGUAUUAGCUAGUUGGUGAGGUAACGGCUCACCAAGGCAACGAUACAUAGCCGACCUGAGAGGGUGAUCGGCCACACUGGGACUGAGACACGGCCCAGACUCCUACGGGAGGCAGCAGUAGGGAAUCUUCGGCAAUGGACGGAAGUCUGACCGAGCAACGCCGCGUGAGUGAAGAAGGGUUUCGGACCGUAAAGCUCUGUUGUAAGAGAAGAACGAGUGUGAGAGUGGAAAGUUCACACUGUGACGGUAUCUUACCAGAAAGGGACGGCUAACUACGUG